rnacentral:rRNA from 1 species
GAAGAACACAAGGUUGAUAGGUUAGAGGUGUAAGUAUGGUAACAUAUUUAGCUGACUAAUACUAAUAGGUCGAGGGCUUGACCAAA